GAUCAUGGCUCAGAUUGAACGCUGGCGGAAUGCUUUACACAUGCAAGUCGAGCGGCAGCGCGGGGCAACCUGGCGGCGAGCGGCGAACGGGUGAGUAAUACAUCGGAACGUGCCCAGACUGGGGGAUAGCCCGGCGAAAGCCGGAUUAAUACCGCAUACGAUCUGAGGAUGAAAGCGGGGGAUCGCAAGACCUCGCGCGUUUGGAGCGGCCGAUGGCAGAUUAGGUAGUUGGUGGGGUAAAGGCUUACCAAGCCUGCGAUCUGUAGCUGGUCUGAGAGGAUGAUCAGCCACACUGGGACUGAGACACGGCCCAGACUCCUACGGGAGGCAGCAGUGGGGAAUUUUGGACAAUGGGCGCAAGCCUGAUCCAGCCAUUCCGCGUGCAGGAUGAAGGCCUUCGGGUUGUAAACUGCUUUUGUACAGAACGAAAAGGCUCUGGUUAAUACCUGGGGCUCAUGACGGUACUGUAAGAAUAAGCACCGGCUAACUACGUG
rnacentral:rRNA from 1 species